rnacentral:lncRNA from 1 species
AAAUUUGCUGUUUUUUUGUUAUUAUCUUGAAUAUUAUUAUAGAUAGAGAUAAACUGUAAACAGCAAUAAUGUACAGCAAAGUAAGAACUAAAAAUAAGUCACUAUGACCAAAAUAGUCAAUUGACCCCCUAAGGAGUUAUUGUCCUUCAUAGUCAAUUUUUAACAAUUUUCUUAAAAUUUGAAGAUUUUCAAUAACAUUUUCCUAAGAAAGUACUGUUAUAGAUAGAGAUAAUUGUAAGCAGCAAGAAUGUUUAGUAGAGUUAGAUCUACAAACACAUCACCAUCACCAAAACACA